CCCUUAGAUGUUCUGGGCCGCACGCGCGCUACACUGACGGAGGCAGCGAGCGUGUCCUUCGCCGGCAGGUGCGGGCAAUCUUGCGAGUCUCCGUCGUGCUGGGGAUAGAUGGUUGCAAUUGUCGAUCUUGAACGAGGAAUUCCCAGUAAGCGCGAGUCAUCAGCUCGCGCUGAUUACGUCCCUGCCCUUUGUACACACCGCCCGUCGCUACUACAGAGUGCCCGUGUCCAAGAAACGGUCGGACCUGUGCGGCCUCUCCGGGCGACCGGAGGGCCGUUACGGGGAAGACCCUUUAUUUGACGCGGGUCGAUGAAGUAAAAGUCGUAACA
rnacentral:rRNA from 1 species